rnacentral:rRNA from 1 species
AACGAACGCUGGCGGCAUGCCUAACACAUGCAAGUCGAACGAGACCUUCGGGUCUAGUGGCGCACGGGUGCGUAACGCGUGGGAACCUGCCCUUAGGUUCGGAAUAACUCCCCGAAAGGGGUGCUAAUACCGGAUAAUGUCUUCGGACCAAAGAUUUAUCGCCUUUGGAUGGGCCCGCGUUGUAUUAGCUAGUUGGUAGGGUAAAAGCCUACCAAGGCGACGAUCCAUAGCUGGUCUGAGAGGAAGAUCAGCCACACUGGGACUGAGACACGGCCCAGAAUCCUACGGGAGGCAGGAGUGGGGAAUAUUGGACUAUGGGCGAAAGCCUGAACCAGCAAGGCCGCGUGAGUGAUGAAGGCCGUAGGGUUGUAAAGCUCGUUUACCCGGGAUGAUAAUGACAGUACCGGGAGAAUAAGCUCCGGCUAACUCCGUA